rnacentral:rRNA from 1 species
GCAGCCGCCGCGGGAAUACGAAGGGUGCAAGCGUUAAUCGGAAUUACUGGGCGUAAAGCGUGCGUAGGCGGUUUGUUAAGUCUGUUGUGAAAUCCCCGGGCUCAACCUGGGAAUGGCAAUGGAUACUGGCAAGCUAGAGUGUGUCAGAGGAUGGUGGAAUUCCCGGUGUAGCGGUGAAAUGCGUAGAGAUCGGGAGGAACAUCAGUGGCGAAGGCGGCCAUCUGGGACAACACUGACGCUGAGGCACGAAAGCGUGGGGAGCAAACAGGAUUAGAUACCCCCGUAGUCCCUGUCUCUUAUAC